CCGAGUGAGGGUCCUUGUGGCCCAACCUCCCAACCCUUGUGUUUAACUAUACCACGUUGCUUCGGCGGGCCCGUUCCUCGCAAGAGGGACCGCCGGACGGACGGUUUCGUCUGUCUGGCCCGUUGCCCGUCGAUAGCCCAACUUCAAACUCUUGAUAAACAGUGUCGUCUGAGUUACAAACAAAAUUAAAUUA
rnacentral:misc_RNA from 1 species